rnacentral:sRNA from 1 species
UGUGACUUGGAAAUUAUGGAAAUCAAGCAACUUCAACAGGAACUUCAGGAAUAUCAGAAUAAGCUUAUCUAUCUGGUACCUGAGAAGCAAUUAUUAAAUGAAAGAAUUAAAAACAUACAGUUCAGUAACACACCUGGUAAGUCUCUAAGGUUUGUCUGAUUACUUUUAUCCUUUUCUGAAUGACUGUAUCAGUCACAUUGUUACUUUUUUAAAAUUAAAAAAAGUAUUCUGUUAUAAAUAACACUUUUUGCCUGUAAGUUUAAAGUUUCAAAAUAAAGUGAAAAAUAUCCCAGAUGUUAGAGCAUUUUUAGUGAUAAAAAGUAGAUAAAAAUAAAAUAGUAAUGAUUGUGGUGUGACUUCAUAUCUUGAUGAUAUUUUUAUGUAUAUAAUUGAAACAUCAAAUAAAGUGUUAGACUAUAAGAUAUAAAUUUGGCUCUAACACAAGACUACAUGUGCAUUUUGAAAAGUCCUGCACUGAUUUUAAAGAACUGUUCAGGAGGAGGCUUUAUGGUGGGGCCGCACCCGGGAUUCUAGGGUGUUAGCGUGCAGCAGUCAUAGGCUUA